rnacentral:tRNA from 1 species
GGUCCUGUGGCCGAGUGGCUAGGCAGAGCUCUGCAAAAGCUUCCACAGCGGUUCGAAUCCGCUCUCGACCUCAA